rfam:Schistosoma mansoni strain Puerto Rico chromosome 1, complete genome
AUCCAACAGACAAGUCCCAAAUAGGAUGAAACGCGCGUCCUGGAU